UAUCAAUACUGGGAAGACAGAAACAGGCUCAGAAAUUAAGAGAAGGAGAGAGAGAGACAGAGACAGAGACAGAGACAGAGAGAAAAAAGGACAGAGAGAGAGAGAGAGAGAGACAUGGACCGAGAGUGCAUCACACGAGGGGUCAGGAGGAGAUGAAUAGAUCUACCCCACCUACCCAACGGACCCAUGGACCUUUUUGACCCCUCACCCCUGCAGCGAUUGGCUCUCCUGGUGUUGUGGCAGGGCCUGGCGUUGGGACUGAGCAGUUCUGCCUUGUGGUACCAAGUGGAGAGGAGAGACAGAGACAGGGCUGUGACCUGGAUCCAGGCCAGGCGGUUCUGUCAGAGGCGCUGUACCCCCUGAGCGGCUAAAGGCGGAGUCUGAAGGGACUGAUCAUGUGACUGUGCAUUGGGACACGCCCCCUCUGAUGCAGACAGCUGAUCAUAGCUACAGAAUUACCACAUGUAGCUUCCAGCCUCACCCUCAUCUUUCUCUCCUCCACCCUUCUCUCCCUCCUUGCCACACCCCUCCUCUUUUCCUCUGUCCUUUCCCCCACCCCCCUCAUCCCACCACCCCAUGUUGCGUCCUCCACCUCCCCUACUCCAACAGUUCCACCUCCCACUCCACCCGGAUCUCUGGCCUAACCCCGGGAAUCCAGUACACCAUCAGCGUUGCCACAGUGAUCACGCGCCCAGAUCCUGUCACCGGUGACAACAUCACCACCGACAGUGACCCAGUCACGGUGACCGUCACAACAAUAGGGGGCGGUGGUGGGCAGCAGGUGGUUGCCAUGGUACUGAGUGUGGUCAAGUUCAUCUAUCUGGCUGUCUUACUCUGCUUACUUUACCUCAUCCUGAAGAGAAAUGCUGUCCAGGCUCCUGAACUUGAUCUGGAAUCAGUAGAACUCCCUACUGAAGAAGAAUACAUUUUAGACAUGAUUAAAACUGGUCCUACAUCAGUUGAAUUCCCCGAUGAAGAAUGCAUUGUUGAGCUGCCACCUGAAGAAUAAAGCAUUGUCUGACUAGAACUGGUUCUAGAUCAGUGGUGCCCCCCCCUGGAGAAUGCAUUGUUGAGCUGCCACCUGAUUACAACUGGUUGUAGAUCAGAAAACAGCAGCUCUACCUGCCAAAUCUACCAGCUUUUCUUGAUAGUGUAAAGAUUAAUGGAGAAUAUAAAUACAAGCUGCAGACAGUAUGCGUUAUUAGUCUUGAUACAUACUUAUAAACAAAAUAGUUUUAUCUUAACAAGAUAUACCUGUUUAACUAUAAGUUUUUAGAAAAGUAUUGAUACACACUUAAGUGCAAAGUAGAUUUGUUAUUCUCAACAAGGAAUUAAUAAGCAUUGAGAAUUAGUUAAGCUGCCUCUUUAAUAAACAGGUUAGAAAAAUAGGUAUUUUGACCUCAAAACGACGUUUAGAAAAUUAUUUUAUUUAUUUAUUUGAUAUUUUACCACACAUUGUCAGUAGUCAUGAUUUUCAUGCUGGGUAUGGAAACAUGUUGCCUCCUUAUGCAUAUAGAUAGGAGAAAUGUACAUUAGUUGUAUGUCAUAAAGUAUGUAAUAUAUAUAGCCUUAGUUCACAAAUGACACCCUAUUCGCUACAUAGUGCACUACUUUAGACCAGAUCCUUAUGGCACCGUAUUCCCUACAUAGUGCACUA
ensembl:lncRNA